UUAGUGAGUUUAGAUUUCUCCGACCGACGACGGCCUAGGGCUAAGGAGCAGCCGAUAUUGAAAGGAUUACUCCCCCACCGGCGUAAUUGUGAAUGCACAUCUAAGUGCAAUAUACCAAUAAGUGUUAGAGAGCAGAAUAGAGAAUAGUCCACACAAUUGUGCAUCACCCACUCCACGCUCGGCAGCAUAAUUUAUGCCACGGGACUAGCAUCAGCAGCAUCAGCAGCUUCAUCUUGCGAAGAUCAUAUUAAAAAAAUUGUGUUCCGUGUGUGAGUUUGUGCGUUUGCCACUUGGCGUAGUGUGUGUGCAAGCGUUCGCUAGAGCAGGACAACCGACAGCAAGUGGAAAUAUCGUCGUGUAUUGCGAAGACGUCCCCCCUUUUCCCCCCUCUGUGUGUGCGUGUGUGUUGGCAGGUUUCCCAGGACGAUCAUCUUCUAGUGCGUGAAGUGUUUCCCGUGUGUUUCGCUUUUCCGGAGAAAAGGACUUUGUUGUAGCAGCAACACCAUCACGGCAAAGACUCCUCGGAUUCUUUGAAACGCUCGAAGAUCCGAGACACUCGUGUGUUGUGUUUGUUGGAGCAGCAACCGUCGUCAAACCAGCCCUCUGUGUAGCUUCCGUGCGGCAAGCCGCAGGAACACCCGUAACAGCCUCAAAAUUACGACCGUAAACAUGACAAACAAGGUGCUGGCCGCGGUGCAAGACCUGCAAAAGCAGCAGCAACAGCAGCAGCAGCAGCAACAACAGCAGCAACAACAGCAGCAGCAACAGCAGCAACAACAACCGCAGCAGCAGCAGAAUGGGGGUGGUAACGGCGGGGGUGGCGCUGGUGGCGCAGAAGCCAGUCAAGCGGCUGCCGGAGCAGCAGGCGGUGGUGGCACUCCCUCGUCGGAAACGGCCCGGACCAACCUGAUCGUGAACUAUCUGCCACAGACGAUGACGGAGGAGGAGAUACGGUCACUGUUUUCGAGCGUCGGCGAGGUGGAAAGCGUGAAGCUAGUGCGCGACAAGAACGUCAUCUAUCCCGGCCAGCCGAAAGGCCAAAGCCUGGGGUACGGCUUUGUCAACUACCAUCGGCCGCAGGACGCCGAACAAGCGGUGAACGUGCUGAACGGUCUCCGGUUACAGAACAAGGUGCUGAAGGUGUCGUUUGCUCGGCCUAGUUCCGAGGGCAUCAAGGGUGCCAACCUGUACAUUUCCGGCCUACCGAAGACGAUCACUCAGGAGGAGCUAGAAACGAUCUUCCGCCCGUACGGUGAAAUCAUCACAUCGCGCGUCCUCAUCCAGGAGGGCAACGAUAAACCGAAGGGCGUCGGCUUCAUACGGUUCGAUCAGCGCAAAGAGGCGGAACGAGCGAUCCAGGCACUGAACGGCACCACGCCGAAGGGCCUUACCGAUCCGAUUACGGUCAAGUUCUCGAACACGCCCGGUCAGAAUGCGGCGGCUAAGGUGGUGCAGCCGGCACUGCCGGCCUUCCUCAAUCCUCAGCUGACACGCCGCCUCGGCGCGAUUCACCAUCCGAUUAAUAAGGGACUGGCACGGUUUUCACCGAUGGGUGGCGAGGUGCUGGAUAUGAUGUUACCGGCCGCACCGACCAACGGUCUUAACGUGGCACCGUCCGGUGGCUGGAGCAUAUUCAUCUACAAUCUGGCCCCGGAAACGGAGGAAAACACGCUCUGGCAGCUGUUCGGUCCGUUCGGGGCGGUGCAGAACGUGAAGGUCAUCAAGGAUGCUGCGACCAACCAGUGCAAGGGUUACGGCUUCGUCACGAUGACCAACUACGAGGAGGCGAUGCUGGCCAUCCGCUCUCUCAACGGCUACACGCUCGGUCAGCGUGUCCUGCAAGUCAGCUUCAAGACCAACAAAUCGAACGGCGGCCACAUGGGUGAAAACUAAGUGCACCACCCACCUUCUUCACUCCACUGUGUACCACCCAAGAAAGCCAGAGUCCGCGCCCGCAAACAGCAAACCCUGCCGUAAGAUCGUAUGAGAAGGAGGAAGAAAGAAAAGUAAAAAAGAUAGAGAAUUGUAAGAAUAAGAAGAGCCGCACCACGCACACCCCGGAGUGAUCGCGAGCCAGGGGGGAGGUGUAGCUACGAGCAGAAAUGCAGAGAUGAAGUGGUUGAUGCUGCGCAUGCUGGAUGACGAGAGAGAGAAAUACAUGCUGGAAGCCGCCAGGAAAGAAGUGGGCUGGCAAAUGAUUGCCACGAUAUUACGUAUGCAACAUUAAGCGUGUGCAUGCGGUUGGUAGUAAUAGAUCAUCGAGUAAGCCCGAGAAAAACAAUCCCGUUUGAAGUAGCGCAGUAGUAGGAGCAGCGCAGCAGCCGACAGCAGCCGGCGUCGUCGUUCGAUCACGAAACAGUUAAACCACCAAGUGAGGGAGCGCCGCCCAGCAACACAUUACGGAGGACAAGUAAGACUCGUGUGUGUGCGUGUAUGUAUAUCUGUGGUUUGUGUGAGUGUAUGUAAAGGAAAAUGGAAACGCCGCCACCCCGCCGAGUAAGCGGAUCCAGCGGGAACACGACCGAAGACGGUCCUGGACAAAGGCGUGAUCGAGAUCCAUGGAAAGCAUAAUAGAUCACGUCACCAGCAGUAGCACAGCAGCAUUGGCCACAGAGUGUAUGCGGGGUGUGUAGGAAGCGUCGCAAUCGAAGAUGGAUGGAAUUCUAGUCAAAAAAAAACCAUGGUAACUGCGAAGUCGAAUCACUAUUAUGAUGAAGGAACGAUAAGGAGAAGAGGCGAUAUGUAGGACUAAAUCUGGAUAACCAGCGAGAGGCAUAUUAGUACGAACCAUGUAUGUAUGUGUUUGUCUAUAUUUUAUAAAUUUUAGCUUUUUUGAUAACCAUUAGUCUAAUGUACAAAGGCAGAAAACAAGCAGAGUUUGACGAUGAGCGCACAGUUUGUGUUGCUGCGUCUUAGGAUUGCAUCUCCAAAUCUCGCUACACCUCAUCCCAUGGUGUCGUUAUUUGAGCAGAAAGUAUUCGAACAACUGCUAGCUAUUCCGCUUCCGUUUCGAAAGCCUAACUAGAAGACGCCACGUUGUUCAUGAAGCAAAUAAGGAAGGAAGGCUAACAGAAUCUUUCGCUUUUAAUUGCAAAGUACAACACCACACUGGGAAUAGUCCAUUUAUAUAGAAAUCAAACUGGGGAGCGGUAUAUUUUUUAAAAUCUACUUUGUACCGGUUACUCGCGAAGGUGGUACGCGCUACUCUUAGUGCAUACCCAGUUUAGGAACGGGUAGAGGUGGCGCGGGGUACGGAUGUGCAAUCCUGUUUCGAGAUCCAUGAAUGUUUCGUGAGGGCCCCCCUUCUUCAGUAUGUCUGUUCGGGGGGCAGACAGAAUAGAAAAGCGAAUACUAGCAGCACCAUUAACGUGUUUGUAUGAGUCCAAUCAGUGGAUAGCGACCAUAUGAUUGGCGAUGAUUUUAGAAGAAUUAUAUUUAUUUUCUAAUUUAUUUACUAUUUAAAAAACAGAAAAUUGAGUAUAAACGGAACUGUGGAAGUGGGAGAUGGGGAAUAGGAGCACGCAAUACAAAGACUCAUUCUAGAAGUCUAAUUCUAGAGCCAGGAUACAAUAACAAUAGAGAGUGUCCGCUGUGCCCAAAUGGGGCAACUUCAAACACAACCCAGCAGAAAUCCUUCGUAGAAAGUAAUAGACUACUUUCUUCCACCAACCCUCUUUACCAAACACAUACCAACACCUCAGUCUAAAUAUGCGCCUCUUUGAUCUGCGGGCCUUUGAUGAAGUGUACACAUGCGGCAUUACGUGCAACAGCAAAUACUCUGCUUCGUGUUAUUACAGCCAGUGCAACAUUUUCAAAACGAUCUCAAACUCCUAGUUUAAUGAGAGAGGGAGGGAAGGAAGAAGGAAACGUUGAACCCCGUUCAGAUCUCUGGUUCCUGGCUCCAAAAACACAUUGAAGUAGCUUAAAUUGGUUGUGGAUGUGUGGACAAAAGACGAUAAACUCCAUCCUAUGGUUUAGAAAAGGAGAGGAAUUAAAACAAAAGCAAAGCAAACGAAAACUAUAAUCAACAUUCUUGUACUUAUUGGAAAGUGAUCGGUGACACAUUUUGCUGUAAAAAUAAUUGCUACAGACAUAUAGUGGCAUGAAUUGGGCUAAAUCCGUUCCAAAUAGGAGAUGGAACCCAUAGGCAAUAUUUCUUGGAAAAGAGACAAGGUUUUGAUUGAAGGCUGUAAAAGCAACAGCACCAACAACAAUCACAACCGAACGGUGUCAUAACACGAGCAUGAAACGGAGAAAAUUUCUCUUUUCUAGUCUAGUCGAAAGCUGGUAGAAGUCGACGAGCAGCAGCAGCAUUAGCAGCAGAGCCUAGCAUAAUCUACUUACUAAUUAGCUGUUAGCUACUCGAACUCUGUUUAGUGAAUCGCAGUGAGUAAAACCCACCAUAAAGAGAAACCGAUUAAUCGAAAGCUAGCUCGAACGCACGAGAACAUGGGGAUAGAUAGAAGCAAAAUGGUUUUUUUUCUACAUUUGUGUCAUUUGGAUAACAUGUAAAUGUUCACCUACCACCACGAGAAACUGCAAUCGAAUCGAAAAAGAUUCGCUCCGGAAAGCUCGCUGUUCAGCCAGUCUAGGAUGUACCGGUGCUGCAAGAGAUGGGGGUACUACUGGUUAUCUCUCUUGGCAUAUUCUUCUGUCCAUGUUCAAUUUACAUAGCUACAUAAGGCACGUUGCAAUGAACUAUCUAGCUCUCAGAAGACACACACCAUUGUUCCGUAAUUGCGGAAUAGAACGAAGAGGAUGUGGCAAUCUUUUCCUCUUUCUGCCACCAUUAGCCCAUUCAUUUAUGCUCGAAAUUUGCAUCGAGCUUAAUCGAGGCGAAAAAACGUUGAACUCAAACUAUCGCACAUUAAAUUUAAGGCGAUACAGUGCAAACAAUGUGCAUUGCAUAUGCGCCGGGUAGGGGAAGACAAAUGUUAUUGAUAUAUAUAUAUAUACAUAUAUAACUAUUAUUCGAUAUGUACUAUAUACACCGAAGCAAA